rnacentral:rRNA from 1 species
GGAAUCUUCGGCAAUGGGGGCAACCCUGACCGAGCAACGCCGCGUGAGUGAAGAAGGCUUUCGGAGCGUAAAACUCUGUUGUUAGAGAAGAACAAGGAUGAGAGUAACUGUUCAUCCCUUGACGGUAUCUAACCAGAAAGCCACGGCUAACUACGUGCCAGCAGCCGCGGUAAUACGUAGGUGGCAAGCGUUGUCCGGAUUUAUUGGGCGUAAAGCGAGCGCAGGCGGUUUAAUAAGUCUGAAGUUAAAGGCAGUGGCUUAACCAUUGUUCGCUUUGGAAACUGUUAGACUUGAGUGCAGAAGGGGAGAGUGGAAUUCCAUGUGUAGCGGGGAAAUGCGUAGAUAUAUGGAGGAACACCGGUGGCGAAAGCGGCUCUCUGGUCUGUAACUGACGCUGAGGCUCGAAAGCGUGGGGAGCAAACA